UACGAAGGGGGCUAGCGUUGCUCGGAAUCACUGGGCGUAAAGGGUGCGUAGGCGGGUCUUUAAGUCAGGGGUGAAAUCCUGGAGCUCAACUCCAGAACUGCCUUUGAUACUGAAGAUCUUGAGUUCGGGAGAGGUGAGUGGAACUGCGAGUGUAGAGGUGAAAAUUCGUAGAUAUUCGCAAGAACACCAGUGGCGAAGGCGGCUCACUGGCCCCGAUACUGACGCUGAGGGCAGAAAAGCGUGGGG
rnacentral:rRNA from 1 species